UUCAGAUUUCUUUUUUCCUGGCUGGUCUGGCAUCUCUGCAAAUACUCAGAAAUGGAGAUCAUCCCUCCUGUUGGUGAUAUGAGAUACGAAUCAUUCUUGGACAAAUCAAAGUACGACAUAGCCUCUUCUUCAGGGUUGGUGCUGGGAAGGUCAUUGUUCAUCAGCUCGGAGCCACUCCUUGGUUUCCAUAAAUUAGGGUGAACCAUGGGAGUUAAUGGCAUUCAAUCAAUAUCAUCAUAAUCAAAUGACCAAUUAUCGCUUCGGUUUCAAUUUUGAAAGGAAAGAGACGAGAAAUCUAAGUUACAGCAAGAUUUACUUUUUUUUUUUUCUCCUCCUGUUUUUUCGAUGGCAUCUUCAGCAGUAGCACCUUUCUACAAGGAGAUCCGUUUCUUGGAAUUUUCAGGACUCUUGAUCUUUUAUCUCCUCUGUUGAUUACGUUGAUGGUACGUUUUCUCUAUGCGAAGGAGAAUUUGCAGGGCUUACAAAAACACCACAGCACAAUGAUGUGCCAUGCUCAGUUUUGUUUUGGCGAGGAUGGUAGAGUGCCCAUUUGAAAAGUUUGACACAACACAGGUUCCUUAUGCAACAACACAUAUAAAAGUGAAUCAGGAGAUGAUUGCAGGUCAAAGCCAAAAAGGUGGCAGGCCUCUCGUCUCUGUUUUACAUUUAUGAUGUCGCAACUACUGGAAGGUCAUUCCUUAAGGAAAACCUCCUAGAGAUAGUGUGACCACUUGAAGAAUACUUAGCUUGCAGAAUUUUCAAAAAGAACCUUAUCUUUCUUGAAAUCAAUUGUAAAAUAUGGAGGCUCUUUUUGAGCAUUUGCAAUGCAAGGCAAAGUAAAAAUUGA